rnacentral:rRNA from 1 species
AAUGAACGUUGGCGGCGUGGAUUAGGCAUGCAAGUCGCGCGAAAGGCCCCGCAAGGGGUGCUCGAGCGGCGUAAGGGACAGUAAUGCGUAGAUACCUACCCUUCGGCCCGGGGUAGCUGCGGGAAACUGCAAUUAAUACCGGAUAACAUCGCAAGAUCAAAGGUGUGAUUCCACCGUUGGAUGGGUCUGCGUCCUAUUAGCUAGUUGGUGAGGUAAUGGCUCACCAAGGCCAAGAUGGGUAGCAGGUGUGAGAGCACGACCUGCGUCACUGGGACUGAGACACUGCCCAGACACCUACGGGUGGCUGCAGUCGAGAAUCUUCGGCAAUGGGCGCAAGCCUGACCGAGCGACGCCGCGUGCGGGAUGAAGGCCCUCGGGUUGUAAACCGCUGUCGUAGGGGAGGAAUGGCCGGAAGGUUCUCCUUACGGUUUGACCUAUCCUAGGAGGAAGUCAGGGCUAAGCUCGUGCCAGCAGCCGCCGUAAUAC